GGGCACUUGGUGUAGUUGGUUAUCACGCCCGCUUAGCAUGUUGUUUGCGGGAGGGGACCGGUUCAAUUCCGGUAGUGUCCA
rnacentral:tRNA from 1 species